UCUUAUAUACACAUAUUUAGACACAGAUUUAGGCAUAAACAAUAUAAGGAGAAAAUUCUGGGUAAACAAUGAUUGACAAACACAUGAAUAGGUUAACAAGACAUUUACCUAAAUAGUUUUAGAAUUUUUUUUAGAGCACUAACACUAUUUUUACCAGAUUAGUAUGCCUAUAAAUAGGCAAAGAAUGAGACAAAGAACUGUUGAACAUUUGUGCCUAGAAUUAAAACCCAUAAAGGAUUAAAUACAAUAGCAAGAGGAACAUCACUUUUAUAUACAAAUGGACUUAUGUAUAGAUAACUCAAGUUUAAUUAAUCGUAACAGAAUACCAAACAAAAAGAGACGAAAGAAGUUUGAAAGGACAUAUGAACAAUUGCACAUGACUGCUUUCUCGAGCUCCAUAAUGCACAUAUCUUUUCCAUACAAGCAUAUUUCAUAUCCAAAUGUAAUCCAAAGAUUUAAGAGAGGUACCUGGAUACAACAAGUGAAUAGAAAAAGAAAAUAGAGCUUUGAAAUCAGCAAGUGACACAAAAAACAGCAGAAGCAACAACAAGAAGAUAGCGGGAAACCAACAAUACUACAACCUUCAACUCAAAUCAGCAAACCCAGCAAUAUGGAAUAAACCAUUAGACCAUGUGAAGGAAAAUCAUCUGGAACAUCUCUUUUUGUUUUUUUCUAUUUCCCUAGCUCUGAUCUUAAGGAGGGGAAAAUCAAAAAAAUUGCACUAGAGAGAAUUAGCCUAGGUAUUUUGUUGAAGAUAUCCUCUGUAAAAAAA
rnacentral:lncRNA from 1 species